rnacentral:rRNA from 1 species
UACGUAGGGGGCUAGCGUUGUCCGGAAUCAUUGGGCGUAAAGAGCGUGUAGGCGGCCCGGUAAGUCCGCUGUGAAAGUCGGGGGCUCAACCCUCGAAUGCCGGUGGAUACUGUCGGGCUAGAGUGCGGAAGGGGCGAGUGGAAUUCCUGGUGUAGCGGUGAAAUGCGCAGAUAUCAGGAGGAACACCGAUGGCGAAGGCAGGUCACUGGGCCGCAACUGACGCUGAGGAGCGAAAGCAUGGGGAGCGAACAGG